rnacentral:lncRNA from 1 species
CCAAGAACAGCAGGCCUUGGUCUGGAAGCUGACAUACUUGCUAAGCACUCCUUAGAAGACCUGACUCUGGGAAGGAAGCCACCAGGACAGGCUGAGCUCGGAGCGGGAGGGCCCUCACAUCUGGGUUUGGCUGCCUCCUCUUCUGCUGGAAAAACUCAAAGCCAUCCAUCUAGGGACUCCCAGGAACAUGUCCCCAGCUCCCAGCUCCCCGGUGAAGCUCAGGCUGCUGUGUUUGGUAAUUCAGGAAAAGAUAAUCGCUAAGGAAGUAGGUGGAGUUUCGGUAGGAGGACGAGACGAAAACGGCAUGGCCCGGACCAAACCUGAGCCAGAGUGGAGACAAGCUGGGAGAAAUCCAAAGGACUGCACAACGAUGACACUGGAAGAUCCAUUACCAUGUCCCAGCGAGUCCUUACUUGUCAAAGAAGUCAAAACCUGCUUCUUGGCCAGCUGGCUGAACUUGCUGAUAACUAAGGCAAGUGAAUAAACACCCAGACCAGUGGAGUCUGUCUGAAGUAUCGACAUUUCACUUAUCAUAUUGGGUGGCAUUCAACAGACAACAGAGAAAUUGUUCUUGCAAAGACAAACCUGUCUUUCUUCCAUCAAGUGCUCUUUCUGCCAUAAUGACCAGCAUGGCGGAGCGGGAGGAGAAACAAGCUGAAAUUAUAAACCUUGGAGAUACGGAGCUCAGAGGCUGCCCUUUCAGACAAAGCAAAGCUCCUUUCUCACACUUCAAAUGGAAGCCUCUUUGAGCCUGGAUAAGAUGCCAGUGGAUGCUUUGUUCUCCCCUUCUCAGGCCCCGGUUGCUCACCUUGGAACUUUCUGAGGCCACUCAGGUGCAGGUCCACCAAGGACAUCUGGCCGGUCCAGUUCCAAAUAGGUAACUCUUAAAAUCCCGACCUUUGCCCUCUGUGCUCUUCCAGCUCUCAGGCAGAGGAAGGGAGGGCAUUGAGUGUGGCCUGGGAGUCAGGACACUGAAGAUGGGGUCCCAGAUCUAUCACUAACAGCCACAACUUGGCAACACCUUUCCCCUCCCUGGGCACCUGUUUCUCCCUUUACAAACUAGUGUUGGAAUAAAUCAGUGAGUCUCAAAAUUUACUUUGGUUUAUUAUAAUUACUUUGAACCCUCCCAUGGAGUAUGUGCACUUGGGCACACUCCUAUGGAUGCAUAAUUUCAUAAAACACAUGAAGAUGCCCGGAGUCUCUCACAUCCACACAGUCCAGGGUAAGGCCGUUGGACCAAAUGUCCUUGAAGAGCUGCUGCUUUCUUGACCCAACUUUGGUAACUCAAGCCCAUCAGUUUAGCUUGUGUGAUGGCGGAC